CCCUGCCCUGCCCUGCCCUGCCCUGCCCUGCCCUGCCCUGCCCUGCCCUGCCCUCCCCACCGACACUCCCUGUGAUUUAUUAAGGCUACACGUGAGGUGUCGCUUGCGGCUCGGCCGUACGUAUGGCACUUUGCGAAACAGCUGCAUGUUGCGUAACACAUGAGGGCAUAAACGGCAAUACGUCAGUUUCUCUUUAUCAGCAUUCUGAUUAGAAACCUGACCUCGACUCAGGA